rnacentral:rRNA from 1 species
UACAGAGGUCUCAAGCGUUGUUCGGAUUCAUUUGGGCGUAAAGGGUGCGAGUAGGCGGCGCGGUAAGUCGGGUGUGAAAUUUCGGAGCUUAACUCCGAAACUGCAUUCGAUACUGCGGUGCUUGAGGACUGGAGAGGAGACUGGGAAUUCGAUGGUGUAGCAGUGAAAUGCGUAGAGAUCAUGAGGAAGACCAGUGGCGAAGGCGGGUCAUCU